rnacentral:rRNA from 1 species
AAUCAACGCUGGCGGCGUGCCUAACACAUGCAAGUCGAACGCGAAAAGGGCUUCGGCUCUUAGUAGAGUGGCGAACGGGUGAGUAACACGUGGGUGACCUACCUUCGAAUGGGGGAUAACGUCCCGAAAGGGACGCUAAUACCGCAUAACAUCCUGCUUUUGAACAGGUGGAGAUCAAAGCCGGGGAUCGCAAGACCUGGCGUUUGAAGAGGGGCCCGCGUCUGAUUAGCUAGUUGGUGAGGAACGGCCCACCAAGGCGACGAUCAGUAUCCGGCCUGAGAGGGCGGACGGACACACUGGGACUGAGACACGGCCCAGACUCCUACGGGAGGCAGCAGUGGGGAAUUGUUCGCAAUGGGCGCAAGCCUGACGACGCAAACGCCGCGUGGAGGAUGAAGGUCUUCGGAUUGUAAACUCCUGUUGCUCGGGACGAAAAGCUUCGACCUAACACGUCGAAGUCUGACGGUACCGGGUGAGGAAGCCCCGGCUAACUCUGUGCCAGCAGCCGCUGUAAU